rnacentral:rRNA from 1 species
CACACACCCUAAUUGUAUGUCAAUGAAUGUCGUUUAUCUUUGGGCCAUGUGCCUAUAAACCUAAUACAACUUUCAACAACGGAUCUCUUGGCUCUCGCAUCGAUGAAGAACGCAGCGAAAUGCGAUAAGUAAUGUGAAUUGCAGAAUUCAGUGAAUCAUCGAAUCUUUGAACGCACCUUGCGCCCCUUGGUAUUCCGAGGGGCAUGCCUGUUUGAGUGUCAUUAAAUUCUCAACCUAUAAAGGCUUUUGAAGUCAUUAUGGGCUUGGAUUGUUGGGGGCUGCUGGCUCAUUAGAGUCAGCUCUCCUUAAAUGCAUUAGCAGGACUCUAUUGCCUCUGCGCAUGGUGUGAUAAUUAUCUACACCAGUUGCAUGUAAUACUAUAAUGUGUCCAGCUCUCUAAUCGUCUUCGGACAGUUAUUGACCAUUUGACCUCAAAUCAGG